CUAAAGCUCCCAUUGUGUUUACAGAUUUCUUCUCGAGGCAUUUUUAAUGCUGUUUUGCACGUUGGGAGAGAGAGUUUAUUUAGAAACAAAUGGGAGACCAAGAGAGGAGUCUUCUUCUUUCUUUCUUUCUUUUCUUUUUUUAAUUGAUGUCCAUUUACACCUCAGCCCAGUUAACUCCACAAAUUCCUGACUCCCGAGGAGGAGUCUUGUCACAGGGCUGCCUGCCUGCGGCCAUCAGCCAUGGUUUCUUUUUGAACAAGCUUUUCUUUUAACACUUAAAACCAGGGAUGAUUUAACAGAGAGUGUCUCAAGUCUGUGAGCUACAGCCCCCUUAGACUGUACCCAAACAAAGCUACUAAUGUGUGGUCAGUUUCUUGGCAACUCCACUCUCGGCUGAUAACGCUCCUGCUUGCAAUUCUCCAAGGAGCCGGCUGCUGGAAGACUGCUCCGAGCCUCAUCCCCUUGGUGCUCCUGAUGCGGGCGAUCCUCCGACUGCACGGCGCCAACCACAACAUGCUACCCACCGUGAGAGAGCAGGACGCGGGCUGCUCUAGUCAGGACUUAUCGUCUAUCAUACUGAUUGACGAAACCAAGAGUGAGCAGAAAAAAUAAACACGAACAGAGGCUGCAGUGUAUGGGCCAGUCUGCUGGGAGUUUUAGUAUUUGGCCUUGGUGAUCCUACUCUCAUGAAGCCGCCAGGACCCAGCUCAUAUCCUGUGUAACCCAGUGGGAGAAGAGCCACAUCAUAUGUAACCCUGUAGGACACAUGAAUGGAGUCCUGGCCAAGUGUCUCCAGCAUGAAAUGUGGAUAGUACUACAGAGAGACUUGGAGCUUUUGAAUAUGUAUAUAAUUAAAAUGUAGACACAUCAUACCUCUGCUUGCACAGAGAAGUGGUGCUCAUUUAUUUAGAGCUUUGUCAACUGUGGGAGCGCACAUGUACUUCAGGGGAGUUCUAAUUAAGGAGAAUACCAAUGUACUGCUGCAUUAUCUUUGAAGAGUGAGAGAGGGAAAAGGGCAAGCUAAACUGUGUACAUUAUUUAUUCUAGACCUCCUAUACAGCUUUUAGACAUAUAUUUAUUUUACUGAAGUUGAGGUGUUAAGAAUGUAUAUAAGCCUGUUCUUGAUCAGAGUAGGAAAAAGGUAGUUUUUAUCAAAUGUAAAAUUAUGCUAUUUAUCAAAUACAAGAUGUUUAGAAGAGAUAGUCCCAGACAAGAUGGUAUAAUAGUUCAUUCUAAAAGACUGUCUAUUAAAAUAUUUAUUAAAACAUUUAUCUAUUCAUGUAA